UACGUAGGUGGCAAGCGUUGUCCGGAUUUACUGGGUGUAAAGGGCGUGCAGCCGGAGAGACAAGUCAGAUGUGAAAUCCACGGGCUCAACUCGUGAACUGCAUUUGAAACUGUUUCCCUUGAGUGUCGGAGAGGUAAUCGGAAUUCCUUGUGUAGCGGUGAAAUGCGUAGAUAUAAGGAAGAGCACCAGUGGCGAAGGCGGAUUACUGGACGAUAACUGACGGUGAGGCGCGAAAGCGUGGGGAGCAAACAGG
rnacentral:rRNA from 1 species